rnacentral:lncRNA from 1 species
CGAAGCUACACCACAGAAGAAGACAACAAAGAAAAAUCAAACAAAAAGUUCCAAGUAACUGUCAACAAUAUAUUUAGCAAUAUGCACUCAGUGUCACUAAUUCUGAAAUUUCUCCUCUUUGAAAAGUUACUUUAAUGAAUAUAAAAGAGGCCAUUUUCUCUUGUUGAUCCACUCAGUUGAUGAAACUCUGAUUAGGAAAUUUUUUCUUUUCCUUUUUUUUAAAUCACCAUGCAGCCUAAAAAAUGAUGAGAGAGCAACAUGACCUGAAGGCUGGGGAUGUCCCAUCACCCUGAAAUUAUUUCUGUUUCAUUUUUGUUUCAAAAAAGCCCUUCUCCUUACAAAAGAAUAGAAGGAGCUAAAUUUCUGUCUUAGCACUAAAUGCAUCUCAGUGCUGUGGAAACAUUUCAUUUUCUAGUGAUUGCAAGGUCUGUAUAUCCCCUGCUGUUUGUAGUCUUUAUUUAAAAAUAAAAUUAAGGAAGGAAAAAAGGACAGAAGAAAGGAAAGAAAGGAAGAAACCCUACAUGACAAGAACAUUAAACUGCAAGGGUGGUUCAUUUCAAUUUUGAAGCCUCUCUUCACUACUGCAGGGAUACCACUUUGGAUUCGUGUCAACGUCUUAAUAGGGGAACUAAAGCAGUUUAUACGCCUCAGAGCACGGGUGCUCAAACCAGAAAAUCAGCGUGAAGGGGAGAAGGCCAGUCCUGCCUUGGACGGGUGGAAGCCACAUAGUCAUGGCCUCUUCUGGCUCAGAGAUUCUUCGUCAUAACUUGCCAAAAUGAAAAAGAACUGUGAAAAGAAAAUGGACACUUCUUCAGAAUCAUAAUUUUAUUUGAAACAGCAAGACAUAGGAUAAAAUAAAUUUUCCAGCCUCCCUUGUAGUUAAGUGAGGCAAUGUGACUAAGAAAGUGAAUUCAUCUAGAAGAAG